rnacentral:rRNA from 1 species
GAGUUUGAUCCUGGCUCAGAUUGAACGCUGGCGGCAGGCUUAACACAUGCAAGUCGAGCGGGGGAAGGUAGCUUGCUACUGGACCUAGCGGCGGACGGGUGAGUAAUGCUUAGGAAUCUGCCUAUUAGUGGGGGACAACAUUCCGAAAGGAAUGCUAAUACCGCAUACGUCCUACGGGAGAAAGCAGGGGACCUUCGGGCCUUGCGCUAAUAGAUGAGCCUAAGUCGGAUUAGCUAGUUGGUGGGGUAAAGGCCUACCAAGGCGACGAUCUGUAGCGGGUCUGAGAGGAUGAUCCGCCACACUGGGACUGAGACACGGCCCAGACUCCUACGGGAGGCAGCAGUGGGGAAUAUUGGACAAUGGGGGGAACCCUGAUCCAGCCAUGCCGCGUGUGUGAAGAAGGCCUUAUGGUUGUAAAGCACUUUAAGCGAGGAGGAGGCUACUAGUAUUAAUACUACUGGAUAGUGGACGUUACUCGCAGAAUAAGCACCGGCUAACUCUGUGCCAGCAGCCGCGGUAAUACAGAGGGUGCGAGCGUUAAUCGGAUUUACUGGGCGUAAAGCGUGCGUAGGCGGCCAUUUAAGUCAAAUGUGAAAUCCCCGAGCUUAACUUGGGAAUUGCAUUCGAUACUGGAUGGCUA